CUCUGGUCCUUUUGCUGCUUAGGCAUAGAAAGUUAGGGUUUUUCUUUCAGUUAGUUCUAGGAAGUUGGCCUGAAACUACCUUGGGUUUCCUGCCUCCAGACACCAUUCUCCUGUCUCAGAAGCAUCACCCCAGGAGAUCAAAGGCAGCUCAGACUCAGUCAGGAAGGCAGCUAAGGAAGCAAGAUGAAUGGUGGGGCACGAGGAAUGAACAGAAGCAGUCGAAAUCAGGGUCAGGUUGGGCCAAGAAAUUGUGGACAACUCAGGCAAGCUGUUCAGGAAUAAGAUUCAGCCAAAAGGAUCACAUUCAACCGGGAAGAAACAAGACCCAGUAUCACAGUGACCUAAACACAAUACAAGCUCAUUCACUCUUGCAUAGAAGAGGACCAGAAACAGAUGAUCCAGGGGCAGCUAUGGUAGCUCUUCAUCAUCAGGAACCCAGUUGUUUUCUGGCUUUCCUCUCUGCCAUUACUGGGGUGCACCUUCAUCCUCGUGGUCUGAUAUGGUCUCUAGAGGUUUCUAGAGCUCCAAACAUCACAUCCACAUUGCUGCUAGAAGGUUUUUGGGGAAAAUGGAAGAAGAGUAUAUUUGCUGUCUUUCCAAAGGCUUCCCAGAAGUACUAUACAAGACUUCUAUGUACAUCUCAUUAGCCAGAAAGUGUUCACUUGGUCACCUUGCUGCAAAAGAGGCUGGGGAACAUAGUAACAUGCCCAUUACUAAGAAAGAAGGGAGCGUGGACACGUGAGACAUCCCAACCCUUCACAAUGAGGUAUAAAAGCUCCUUUUUCCAAGCAUAAUGUCGAGCUCUUACCCCAGGAGGCUCCACGUGUGAUGGAAGGCACAGACUUUGGAAUCAGACAGACCUGGGACAGAUCCUGGAAGGUCUUUUAGGCUAACUGAUGGCGCCAUGGACGCCAUGGUAACCUCUGUGCCCUGCACAGACACUCCAGAUGAGUUCCUGGAAAAUCUGAAGUAGCUGGAAGACCAUGAAAAGAGGAAGACCCUUCAGUACCUACUUAAAUUUGAGACACUCUCUAUUCCUUAUUCCUGCCCCAAUUGAUAAGGCUAUUGGACUUUGUAACCAACCUUGGUCAACCUCAUGACUCCACACCCUACGACCCCCUCCCAGCUUGCCAAAAAACGCCCCAAACUGUGACUUCCGUAACUUUCCACUGUUUACCCCACACCUAUAAAACCAACUCUGCCUUUCGCUGACUCUCUUUUGGGACCCAGCUGGCCCACAGCCGGGUGAAUAAACAGCCAGGUUGCUCACACAAAACCUGUUUGGGGGGGUCUCUUCAUUCAGAGCACGCAUUUUUUUUUUUUUUUUGAGACGGAGUUCACUCUUGUUACCCAGGCUGGAGUGCAAUGGCGCGAUCUCGGCUCACUGCAACCUCCGCCUCCUGGGUUCAGGCAAUUCUCCUGCCUCAGUCUCCUGAGUAGCUGGGAUUACAGGCACGUGCCACCAUGUCCAGCUAAUUUUUUGUAUUUUCAGUAGAGACGGGGUUUCACCAUGUUGACCAGGAUGGUCUCGAUCUCUUGACCUUGUGAUCCACCCGCCUCGGCCUCCCAAAGUGCUGGGAUUACAGGCUUCAGAGUACGCAUUUUAACAGACCCUGGCUCACUUACCUCCCAGCUAGAUGAUUUAGGAAAGUUGCUCAGACUCUCUGAAUCUCUGCAUCUAACAAAUAGAAAGCGCAGGGUUGCAGUUGUGAGAAAGUAAUCGACGAGAAUCUGUGUAUAGAGAACCCGGGAGAGUGCCCAGAACAAGCCUGAUGGCCAGGAGUUGUCAUCCCAUCUGCAUUAUGUCAUCUGUAUCCAUGUAUUCUAUCUUCUACAACGCCGUGUGUUAUUUAAACUCUUUUAUUAUAAUGAUUGUUUUAUUUUAUUUUUCAUUUUUUUAAAGACAGGAUCUUGCUCUGUCACCCAGGCUUAACUGCAGUGGUGCGAUCGUGGUUCAGUGCAGCCUCAAAUUCCUGGGCUCAAGUGAUCCUCCUGCCUCAGCCUCCUGAGUAGCUGAACUUACUGUGAGUGUUCUGAAGUCCAGGCACCUGGCACGUAGGCAGGGCUGUCAGUAACAUUUGCUGCAUUAAUGGAAUUUCAGUGGCCUGACCUUUCUCCUGGGCUUGGUCUGGCCCUGCCUUCACCAUUGGGCUGCUAUGCAUGAUGCCAUCUCAGCGGGUUUGGGAUGGGGCCUGGAAACCUACAUUUUUCAUCUCUCCAGUAUUGGGAAUCUCUCUUUCAGAAGGCUUCCCAGAAGUACUACACAAGACUUCUGUGUAGGCCGGGCACGGUGGGCUGUAAUCUCAGCAUUUUGGAAGGCCAAGGUGGAUGGAUCACUUGAGAUCAGGAGUUUGAGACUAGCCUGGCUAACAUGGUGAAAACCCAUCUCCACUAAAAAUAUGAAAUUAGCUGGGCAUGGUGG
ensembl:lncRNA